UACGUAGGGUCCGAGCGUUGUCCGGAAUUAUUGGGCGUAAAGGGCUCGUAGGCGGUUCGUCACGUCGGGAGUGAAAACUCGGAGCUUAACUCCGAGCCUGCUUCCGAUACGGGCAGACUAGAGGUAGGCAGGGGAGAGCGGAACUCCUGGUGUAGCGGUGGAAUGCGCAGAUAUCAGGAAGAACACCGGUGGCGAAGGCGGCUCUCUGGGGUAUUGCUGACGCUGAGGCACGAAAGCCAGGGGAGCGAACGGG
rnacentral:rRNA from 1 species